rnacentral:rRNA from 1 species
CCUACGGGUGGCAGCAGUGAGGAAUAUUGGUCAAUGGGCGAGAGCCUGAACCAGCCAAGUCGCGUGAAGGAUGACGGCCCUACGGGUUGUAAACUUCUUUUGUCAGGGAGCAAUUGGGUCCACGCGUGUGCUUCGCGAGAGUACCUGCAGAAAAAGCAUCGGCUAACUCCGUGCCAGCAGCCGCGGUAAUACGGAGGAUCCGAGCGUUAUCCGGAUUUAUUGGGUUUAAAGGGAGCGUAGAUGGGUUGUUAAGUCAGUUGUGAAAGUUUGCGGCUCAACCGUAAAAUUGCAAUUGAUACUGGCAGCCUUGAGUACAGUUGAGGUAGGCGGAAUUCGUGGUGUAGCGGUGAAAUGCGUAGAUAUCACGAAGAACUCCGAUUGCGAAGGCAGCCUACUAAACUGCAACUGACAUUGAUGCUCGAAAGUGUGGGUAUCAAACAGGAUUAGAUACCCUUGUAGUC